GCCCUUCGGGGCAUACGGUGAACUGAAAAUAUACAGAGAAGAUUAGCAUGGCCCCUGCACUAAGGUUGACAUGCCAAAUCAAAGAGAAGCUACCUAUUUUU
rfam:Penicillium expansum strain MD-8 contig8, whole genome shotgun sequence.